rnacentral:tRNA from 1 species
UAAAUGGAGGCCAAAAAGAGGCGCCUAUCUGUUAAUUAGGAGAAUGUAAUGAACAGUUACCCAUUUAG